rnacentral:rRNA from 1 species
GGUCUCAGUUCGGAUUGAAGGCUGAAAUUCGCCUUCAUGAAGCCGGAAUUGCUAGUAAUGGCAGGUCAGCAUACUGCCGUGAAUACGUUCCCGGGCCUUGUACACACCGCCCGUCACACCAUGAGAGUUGGGGAUACCCGAAGCCUGUGAGCUAACUUUUAGAGGCAGCAGUCGAAGGUAGAAUCAAUGAUUGGGGUGAAGUCGUAACAAGGUACC